rnacentral:misc_RNA from 1 species
UUUCCUGCCGCUACUCCUCUUGGGUGA